GGAGACAGGUAGGCAACAAGUGCAGAGGAGCAAGGCAUGAAGCCCAGACACAGCGUGUUGGCUUUAAUGGAGCAUCACUUUGCAGAGUGUUAAGGGUUGCUGAUGGGGAGGCGGCACCUGGAUCAGUCGAUACAGAAUGCCUGCCUUACUACCUUGAGACCAGGGUGCGUUUCUGCAGGACAUUGAACCUCAGGGACUCCCAACAUCAACAGCUGAAGCUCAACACCACGGUGACUCUCAAAUUUAAAUGAAAUUUAAGACUCCUGGGUUCCAUGAGCCUCUCCCAGGUCCCAGAGUUUGGACAAAGCUCCCAUCCGGUCACUUGGGCUUUGCUCACACAGCAAGUUCCUUGCCAUGUAAGACAAUCCCUGUUACCGACCUUUAACCUCUGCUGGCUACGUUACACCCAAAGGAGCCAGGAAAGACUUCCUCUUGGCAUGGGGACUUUUUGUCACAGCAGUUACACCAAAAGGAUACUAGAUUCAAGCUGAAUCCUGAGAGACUUCAUGGACCAAGAUGUUAUGACUUCAGAGACCAGAGUGGACAAUCCCAUAACAUGACGCACAUUAUCAUCCUGGAGUCUGCUGCAUAACAGAAACCAGGAGUACACCAAGAAAAAAAAAACACGAAGAAAGAAACUAUGUAUCUCCUGGUUCUGCUUUGGUUUCAGCCAUUCCUCCUGUGCUAGAUUUCCAUGGAUGUCUGUUGCUAUAUUGAUUUCCUGUGUUCGCUUGGGUAAGUCCCCAGUAAGUAGGUAGUUUGAAAUAAUAAAAGCUUAUUUUAUUGCA